CUGAAACGGUCCGAAAGGGCGCAUUUAGGCCCAGUCCCAUUCCGGCCCUCGCCCCUACCACUCAGCCCUUACCCCUCAGUGUUGUAAGUUCACGUCUACAAGUAGAGUGUCCCGAGUUUUUUGCUGAGACAGAAGAUUAGGGCGAUGUUUUAGGGCUACAUGGCCCCCCAAACUGAGUUUUUUCGGAGGUAACGGAGUGUUAAGAGAAAAGAAAUCCGGCAAGAUGGCGGCCAAACAAACCCACAAAUGUGGCAGAACUCCUGUACCAUUUAAGCUGGAAUGGGACAAUUCCAUCAAGAAGCUGGCGAAUAGCUGACUUCACCUUCAUAUGACCGAAGAAUUAUGGAUCCCCAAACAUCAACGGAAUGAAGCGUAUGUAAAUGAACACUGCACUUCAGCGAAGAUGCUUUCAGAGAAGCAAAACUUUAAUUAAAAUCAAACACAGCUUUAACUCUUGCAAAUGAGGUGAUGCGAUUCGAGAAAAAAAAUCGGUAAACAAGGAGAGCACCUCCCUCCAAACAGCUGAUAAACAACUGGUAUGGAUGUAACAGGAACUGUGAAGAGUGAAGAGCUUAUUUAUGGAGAAAGUGUAAAUCUGUGGACUGAAAUAUUCAGUGACAUCAGAGUAUUAAAAGUGGGCAAGUACAUAUUUCUCACACAGUUGUUGACUAUUUGCAGUUUAUCUGUGACUUCAGUGUGAUGUCUUCAACUAUAACUUUAUAGCCAGAUCAGAAUUAACCCAGUAAUAAAUGUGACAGGUACAAAAACACUACACAUUAGUGUCAGCAUAUUCUCUUUACAAAUAUGCAUACAUUGUUUAGUGUCACUGCUAACCAAAUGAAAUAAAAUAUGUUCCAGUUUGUUAACAGAUACUAUUCACACAUUCAGUAUCCCACACAAGA